UACAGGGGGCGCAAGCGUUGCUCGGAAUCACUGGGCGUAAAGCGAACGCAGGCGGACCGUUAAGUCGAAUGUGAAAGCCCGGGGCUCAACCCCGGAAGUGCAUUCGAAACUGGCGGUCUUGAGUACGGGAGAGGUGGGUGGAAUUCCUGGUGUAGAGGUGAAAUUCGUAGAUAUCAGGAGGAACACCGGUGGCGAAAGCGGCCCACUGGCCCGAUACUGACGCUCAUGUUCGAAAGCGUGGGGAGCAAAC
rnacentral:rRNA from 1 species